GGAGCACAGGAACACAGGAGGGAAACAAAGUGCAGACAGACCACAAACAUCCAGAAAACACAAUAAAAGCAGACAGAAAUGUCAGAACCACGACAGCUUUAGAGGAGUUGAUGGUCACAUUUACUUGUUUAUAGAGACAUGCCAGCUGUUUCCACAUGUUAUCAGUCUCAGCUAAACUAAAGCUCAAUUAAGAUAACCUUCCUCUUGCACUAUCAGUUUACUGACUGAGGACAGGACUCAGGCUUUCUCUUGUUUUAUUUAGAGAAUGAUGAUAUUUUUCUGAUGCAUGUUGACCUGGAGAUAAAAUUCAGUCAGUUCACAGUGAGGUCAGUGUUGAUGAAGUGAUCCAGCAGGGGGUGAUAUAGACCUGUUAAUGAGGACAAAGUCAUGUGAGAUCAUAAAGAUGUGAAAUGCAGGAUGUUUAAAAUGAGGAGAAGAAAUGUAAAACAGCUCAAAGUCUAAAUUUUCCAGAUGGACUUUAAAGUGUCACAUGAUCCUCAAGAUGAUGAGCUGUCACUCCACCUCACCUCCUCUGUUUCUGUUUCACAUCAACAGAGAGUCUGAACUGUUUCCAUGCACUCACACUGAAAACUGCAUCAGGAUGAUGUCGCCAAUAACUCUGAUUGUCAUGUUGGGUUUUCUGAGUCAGGAGUGUUCUGCAAACAAUUUUCUGACUCAGGCUGACAAAUCCAAGUCUGUUAGUCUUGGAGGAACUGUGACCAUCAGAGCCACAGGGAGCUCAAAUAUUGGUAGCACUCUCAGUUGGUACCUUCAGACACCUGGACAGGCUCCCAAUCUUCUGAUAUAUUUGGCAUCAAAUCGCUUCUCUGGAACUCCGUCUCGAUUCAGUGGCAGUAGAUCUGGUUCUAGCUACACUCUGACCAUCAGUGGGUUUCAGGCUGAAGAUGUAGGAGAUUACUACUGUCUGGGUGCCCAUGGUGGUGGAGUGUUCACACAGUGA